UGCCAUGGGACUGUGGAGACCCAGA
rnacentral:piRNA from 1 species